UGGGGAAUAUUGCACAAUGGGCGCAAGCCUGAUGCAGCGACGCCGCGUGAGGGAUGACGGCCUUCGGGUUGUAAACCUCUUUCGCCAGGGACGAAGCGCAAGUGACGGUACCUGGAUAAGAAGCACCGGCUAACUACGUGCCAGCAGCCGCGGUAAUACGUAGGGUGCGAGCGUUGUCCGGAUUUAUUGGGCGUAAAGAGCUCGUAGGCGGUUUGUCGCGUCGGCCGUGAAAUCUCCACGCUUAACGUGGAGCGUGCGGUCGAUACGGGCAGACUUGAGUUCGGUAGGGGAGACUGGAAUUCCUGGUGUAGCGGUGAAAUGCGCAGAUAUCAGGAGGAACACCGGUGGCGAAGGCGGGUCUCUGGGCCGAUACUGACGCUGAGGAGCGAAAGCGUGGGGAGCGAACAG
rnacentral:rRNA from 1 species